AGUGAACGCUGGCGGUAGGCCUAACACAUGCAAGUCGAACGGCAGCACAGAGGAGCUUGCUCCUUGGGUGGCGAGUGGCGGACGGGUGAGGAAUACAUCGGAAUCUACUCUGUCGUGGGGGAUAACGUAGGGAAACUUACGCUAAUACCGCAUACGACCUACGGGUGAAAGCAGGGGAUCUUCGGACCUUGCCCGAUUGAAUGAGCCGAUGUCGGAUGAGCAAGUUGGCGGGGUAAAGGCCCACCAAGGCGACGAUCCGUAGCUGGGCUGAGAGGAUGAUAAGCCACACGGGAACUGAGACACGGUCCAGACUCCUACGGGAGGCAGCAGUGGGGAAUAUUGGACAAUGGGCGCAAGCCUGAUCCAGCCAUACCGCGUGGGUGAAGAAGGCCUUCGGGUUGUAAAGCCCUUUUGUUGGGAAAGAAAUCCAUCUGGUUAAUACCCGGGUGUGAUGACGGUACCCAAAGAAUAAGCACCGGCUAACUUCGUGCCAGCAGCCGCGGUAA
rnacentral:rRNA from 1 species